GAUGAACACUGGCGGCGUGCCUAAUACAUGCAAGUCGAGCGAACGGACGCGUAGUUUGCUUUUCUGACGUUAGCGGCGCACGGGAGAGUAACACGUGGGAACUCUCCCUCAAAGCCUGAUAUAACUUCGGGACACCGGCUCUAACCCCGGAUAAUAUUUUGAUCCGUAUGGUUCUAGAGUGAAAUACGGUCUUACUUUCACUUAUAGAUGGAUCCGCGCUGCAUUAGCUAGUUGGUAAGGUAACGGGUUACCAAGGCAACGAUGCAUAGCCGACCUGAGAGGGUGAUCGGCCACACUGGAGCUGAGACACGGUCCAGACUCCUACGGGAGGCAGCAGUAGGGAAUCUUACGCAGUGGGCGAAAACCUGGCGGAGCAACGCCGCGUGAGUGAUGACGGUCUUCGGAUCGUAAAACUCUGUUAUUAGGGAAGAACAUAUUUGUAAGUAGCUGAGCACAAAUUGACGGUACCUAGUCAGGAAGCCACGGCUAACUACGUG
rnacentral:rRNA from 1 species